UACAGAGGCCCCAAGCGUUGUUCGGAUUCACUGGGCGUAAAGGGUGCGUAGGCGGUUGGGUAAGUCUGAUGUGAAAUCUCACAGCUUAACUGUGAAACUGCAUUGGAUACUAUCCGGCUAGAGGAAUGGAGGGGAGACUGGAAUACUUGGUGUAGCAGUGAAAUGCGUAGAUAUCAAGUGGAACACCAGUGGCGAAGGCGAGUCUCUGGACAUUUCCUGACGCUGAGGCACGAAAGCCAGGGGAGCAAACGGG
rnacentral:rRNA from 1 species